rnacentral:rRNA from 1 species
UUUAUGGAGAGUUUGAUCCUGGCUCAGGAUGAACGCUGGCGGCGUGCCUAAUACAUGCAAGUCGAGCGAACGGACGAGAAGCUUGCUUCUCUGAUGUUAGCGGCGGACGGGUGAGUAACACGUGGAUAACCUACCUAUAAGACUGGGAUAACUUCGGGAAACCGUAGCUAAUACCGGAUAAUAUUUUGAACCGCAUGGUUCAAAAGUGAAAGACGGUCUUGCUGUCACUUAUAGAUGGAUCCGCGCUGCAUUAGCUAGUUGGUAAGGUAACGGCUUACCAAGGCAACGAUGC